AUCUCGAUCCCGAUCCCGGCCCUUGUCCCUCUCCCGGUGCCUCUCCCCGUUCCGCUCCUUCCCCCUUUCGCGAUCUCCUCUCCUGGAAUCCUCCUUCCUAUCGGAGGCAUCUCCUCUCCUCGAUGAUCUCUGCUUACCCUCCUCCAUGCGGUCCUCCAUCCGCCAAAAACUAUCGGAUCGACCGAACCCUAGAGAUAGUUUACCUGCUGCCCUAACCUCGAAGGAAGAAGAAAAGAAACAAGAAAUUAGAGAACCCUAGAGGGAACAGGCAGCCCCAGACGCGAGGGGUGGGGAUUGGCGCUGGGGUUGGAUUCUUUCCGAACUGGGUCGGCCCGGUAUAAAUACCACAAAGUCGGCGUACACGAUUCAGACUGACCGCAUGACAACGGCCUGUCCUGCCCGCUAUGGAUUCUAGCCAUUUGGUAAUCCUGACAACUAGGGCCAUCAAUCCAACCAUUUGACUCGGACCCAACAUCAUCCUGACCAAAACCCAUGACCAAUUAAUGGGUUUCAAAAUUAAACUAUUAAAAAUUGUAGCUCGAAUUUAUGUUUGAGGUUUUUAAACCCAAUCCAGCCCAACUCGAUACCGGCUAACUACCUAAUUUAUUUAUAUAAAUUAUUAAUUUUAUUUAAUAUAUCCUUCAACUUCUAGACUCUUGGCAUAUAAAAUUAAUUAUUUUAUGUUAUAAAAUCUUUGAAUAAUUAUACUUAACUUUAUAUAUAUAUAUAUAAUAUAUCUUUUCUAUUUUUUUUCUUUGUCAAUCACUAUCAUAAGGUUGACUGCUAAGUACUUGUUGAUCAUCAUUCAAUUUUUCAAGUAUGUAACUGGGUGUUUUGCAGGCAAAAAUCUCAAAAGUGCGAAUGCUCGUAGCUUGAUUAAUAGUUCGAGAUAUGUAAUUUUGUAUCCCAUAAGAAUCUAGACUUCAUACAUCUUAACUCAAACACAAA
rnacentral:lncRNA from 1 species